ACAAAAGAUGGUAGCUGAACAACAGGAAAAGCGAAUUUAAAAAGAAAUAACAAAGCAGGAGUAGCUCCAGUACUUCACACAGUUUGCAAUCCACAACUUGGAGCAAAAGUUUGUAUGGAAAUGAAAUCCUAUGCUUGCUCUAACUCUUCCGAAACUGCCGCAAAAACAAGCAAUAACUCCGCCAUUACUGAAUAUACUUUUAGUUAAAAAAAAAACUUAACACAGACACUGAUAGCGAACGAAAAUUAACAACACAUUAUUCAAUUGCUCAA